rnacentral:rRNA from 1 species
GAGUUUGAUCCUGGCUCAGAGCGAACGCUGGCGGCGUGCCUAACACAUGCAAGUCGAACGGUUCUGUUGGGGGCUUGCUCUCGACAGAGUAGUGGCAAACGGGUGAGUAACACGUGGGUAAUCUUCCUUCGAGUGAGGAAUAACUUCGGGAAACCGGAGCUAAUACCGCAUAACAUCUUGGGACGGCAGUUCCAAGAUCAAAGGGGGCGCAAGCUCCCGCUUGAAGUUGAGCUCGCGUCCUAUCAGCUAGUUGGUGAGGUAAUGGCUCACCAAGGCUCCGACGGGUAGCCGGCCUGAGAGGGUGGCCGGCCACACUGGGACUGAGACACGGCCCAGACUCCUACGGGAGGCAGCAGUGGGGAAUAUUGCGCAAUGGACGAAAGUCUGACGCAGCGACGCCGCGUGGGUGAUGAAGGCCUUCGGGUCGUAAAGCCCUGUUGAGGGAGAGAAAGCUACUGUCGGUUAAUACCCGGCAGUGGUGAUAGUAUCCCUAGAGAAAGCACCGGCUAACUACGUGCCAGCAGCCGCGGUAAUACGUAGGGUGCAAGCGUUGCUCGGAAUUACUGGGCGUAAAGGGAGCGCAGGCGGUUUUGUAUGUCGCAGGUGAAAUACUCCGGCUUAACUGGAGAAACGCCUGCGAAACUGCAGGACUAGAGGACAGGAGAGGUGGACGGAAUUCCCGGUGUAGCGGUGAAAUGCGUAGAUAUCGGGAGGAACGCCGAAGGCGAAGGCAAUCCACUGGACUGUUCCUGACGCUCAUGCUCGAAAGCUAGGGGAUCAAACGGGAUUAGAUACCCCGGUAGUCCUAGCCGUAAACUAUGGGUACUAGGUAUGGCGGCGUCUGCUUGCCCGUGCGAAGCUAACGCAUUAAGUACCCCGCCUGGGGAGUACGGU